rnacentral:rRNA from 1 species
CCCUAACGGAAGUUCUACCUUGGAGAUGUUGGCUAUGCAUGUCGGCCGGGUAUUCUUCCACCCUUCAGGAAAACAAGGUACCAUCUCAACAAGUCCUCUGGUAGGAACUAUCCUAGGACUGCACAGGAGUUGUUUAAUCUCAGACACUCCAGCCUUAGAGUAACUGUUGAGAGGGCAUUUGGAGCUCUGAAGAAUAGGUUUAAGAUCCUGGAUCAGAAGUCAUUCCACCCAUACUCCACUCAGGUUAAGCUAGUUCUUGCUUGUUGCAUUCUGCAUAACUGGAGCCUCCAGUGGGGCUUUGAUGAAUACAUGCCUGAGGAGGAAGAUGUCGAGCCUGACGAUGUUGUUAGCUCCGGCCAUGGUGUGGAGGCAUUUGACAAUGACGCUUGGAAGAAUAAAAGGUUGGAGUGGGCAGAGGCGAUGUGGCUUAACAGAGGUCAGUGCAGGAUUUUAGGAAGAUGGAAGAAGAACAAGAAGCAGCAGCAGUACCAGAAGCAGCAGCAGAAGGAGAAGAAGAGAGGAAGAGGAAGAUCUGGUAGCACCGAUGAACUAUCCUCUAUUUAG